UGCAUGCGACUGUCUACACAUGCAGUCGAGCGGAACAUGGGACUUGUGCCCUGAUGUUGGCGACGGACGAGUGUAAACCUGUGCGGCCCUAUCUGUGGAAUGGGAUAACUCCAGGAAAACUCUUACCCUACCGGAUGGUUGAUUGGCCGCAUGAACCGCACGUGCUUGGUGGCUUCGGCUACCACAUAGAGAUGGACCCGCGUGGCGUUAUGUAGUUGGUGAGGUAACGGCUCACCACGGUGUGGAUGCGUAGCCGACCUGACAGGGUGAUCGGCCACACUGGGACUGACACACGGCCCAUACUCCUACGGGAGGCACCAGUAUGGAAUCUUCCGGAAUGAACGAAAGUCUGACUGAGCAUCUCCGCGUGAGUGAUAAAGGUUUUCGGAUCGUAAAGCUCUGUUGUUAAGGAAUAACAAGUGCCUUUCUGAUAAGGCGGCCCCUUGACGGUACCUAACCAAAAAGCCACGGCUAACUACGUGCCAGCAGACGCGGUAAUGCGUAGGUGGCAAGCGUUGUCCGGAAUUAUUGCGCGUGUAGGGCUCGCAGGUUGUUUCUUAAGUCUGAUGUUCAAGCCCCCCGCUCAACCUGGGAGGGUCAUUGGAUACUGGGGAACUUGAAUGCAGAAGAGGAUAUUGAAAUUCCACGUGUAGAUGUGUAAUGCAUACAGAUGUGGACGAACACCACUGUCGAACGCUACUCUCUCGUCUGUAACUGACGCUGAGGAGCGAAAGCGUGGAUGAGCGAACAUGAUUCUAUACCCUGACACUCCACACUAUACGCUAUGAGUGCUACUGUGUUCAGUAGUUUCCUCCCCUUAGUGCUGCGGCUAACUGCAUGAGUCACUGCGGCCUGGUUGAGUACAGUCGCAAUACUGAAGACUAAUCGCACCAUCACUGGGACGCAUGCUCGAGCGGUGGAUCAUAUCGCUUUAAUUCCUUAGCAACCCUAAGACACCGUUACGCAGGUCUUGACAUCAUACUGAACAAUGCCUAGAGAGUAGGGACCGUCCACCACUCGGGCGCCGAGGUGACAUGCUGGUGCACUGGGUUGUCGAUCAGUCUCGUGUCGGUGACCACUCAUAGGGGUAACGUCCCCCUCAUCGAUCCAGCUAGCCACUGUGAUCGGUUAG
rnacentral:rRNA from 1 species